GGAGGUGUAGCUCAGUGGUAGAGCAUUUGCCUAGCAUGUACAAGGCCCUGGAUUCAAGCCCUAGCAUCACAA
rnacentral:tRNA from 1 species